rnacentral:rRNA from 1 species
UACGUAGGGGCUAGCGUUGUCCGGAAUCAUUGGCGUAAAGCGCGUGUAGGCGGCCCGGUAAGUCCGCUGUGAAGUCGGGGCUCAACCCUCGAAUGGCCGGUGGAUACUGUCGGGCUCGAGUACGGAAGAGGCGAGUGGAAUCCGUGGUGUAGCGGUGAAAUGCGCAGAUAUCAGGAGGAACACCGAUUGCGAAAGGCAGC